CAGGCUUAACACAUGCAAGUCGAGGGGCAGCAUGGUCUUAGCUUGCUAAGGCCGAUGGCGACCGGCGCACGGGUGAGUAACACGUAUCCAACCUGCCGUCUACUCUUGGACAGCCUUCUGAAAGGAAGAUUAAUACAAGAUGGCAUCAUGAGUCCGCAUGUUCACAUGAUUAAAGGUAUUCCGGUGGACGAUGGGGAUGCGUUCCAUUAGAUAGUAGGCGGGGUAACGGCCCACCUAGUCUUCGAUGGAUAGGGGUUCUGAGAGGAAGGUCCCCCACAUUGGAACUGAGACACGGUCCAAACUCCUACGGGAGGCAGCAGUGAGGAAUAUUGGUCAAUGGGCGAGAGCCUGAACCAGCCAAGUAGCGUGAAGGAUGACUGCCCUAUGGGUUGUAAACUUCUUUUAUAAAGGAAUAAAGUCGGGUAUGGAUACCCGUUUGCAUGUACUUUAUGAAUAAGGAUCGGCUAACUCCGUGCCAGCAGCCGCGGUAAUACGGAGGAUCCGAGCGUUAUCCGGAUUUAUUGGGUUUAAAGGGAGCGUAGAUGGAUGUUUAAGUCAGUUGUGAAAGUUUGCGGCUCAACCGUAAAAUUGCAGUUGAUACUGGAUAUCUUGAGUGCAGUUGAGGCAGGCGGAAUUCGUGGUGUAGCGGUGAAAUGCUUAGAUAUCACGAAGAACUCCGAUUGCGAAGGCAGCCUGCUAAGCUGCAACUGACAUUGAGGCUCGAAAGUGUGGGUAUCAAACAGGAUUAGAUACCCUGGUAGUCCACACGGUAAACGAUGAAUACUCGCUGUUUGCGAUAUACAGCAAGCGGCCAAGCGAAAGCGUUAAGUAUUCCACCUGGGGAGUACGCCGGCAACGGUGAAACUCAAAGGAAUUGACGGGGGCCCGCACAAGCGGAGGAACAUGUGGUUUAAUUCGAUGAUACGCGAGGAACCUUACCCGGGCUUAAAUUGCAGAUGAAUUACGGUGAAAGCCGUAAGCCGCAAGGCAUCUGUGAAGGUGCUGCAUGGUUGUCGUCAGCUCGUGCCGUGAGGUGUCGGCUUAAGUGCCAUAACGAGCGCAACCCUUGUUGUCAGUUACUAACAGGUUCCGCUGAGGACUCUGACAAGACUGCCAUCGUAAGAUGUGAGGAAGGUGGGGAUGACGUCAAAUCAGCACGGCCCUUACGUCCGGGGCUACACACGUGUUACAAUGGGGGGUACAGAGGGCCGCUACCACGCGAGUGGAUGCCAAUCCCCAAAACCUCUCUCAGUUCGGACUGGAGUCUGCAACCCGACUCCACGAAGCUGGAUUCGCUAGUAAUCGCGCAUCAGCCACGGCGCGGUGAAUACGUCCCCGGGCCUUGUACACACCGCCCGUCAAGCCAUGGGAGCCGGGGGUACCUGAAGUGCGUAACCGCGAGGAGCGCCCUAGGGUAAAACUGGUGACUGGGGC
rnacentral:rRNA from 1 species